UACGGAAGGCAGCAGUGGGGAAUAUUGCACAAUGGGCGAAAGCCUGAUGCAGCUAUGCCGCGUGUAUGAAGAAGGCCUUAGGGUUGUAAAGUACUUUCAUCGGGGAGGAAAAAACAAAACUAAUAAUUUUAUUUCUUGACGUUACCCGAAAAAGAAGCACCGGCUAACUCCGUGCCAGCAGCCGCGGUAAUACGGAGGGUGCUAGCGUUAAUCAGAAUUACUGGGCGUAAAGAGCACGUAGGUGGUUUUUUUAAGUCAGAUGUGAAAUCCCUGGGCUUAACCUAGGAACUGCAUUUUGAAACUGAAAUACUAGAGUAUCGUAGAGGGAGGUAGAAUUCUAGGUGUAGCGGUGAAAUGCGUAGAUAUCUAGAGGAAUACCUGUGGCGAAAGCGGCCUCCUAAACGAAUACUGACACUGAGGUGCGAAAGCGUGGGGAGCAAACAGGGAUUAGAUACC
rnacentral:rRNA from 1 species